rnacentral:lncRNA from 1 species
CUAAAAGGCAGGAGAUGAUAUUUUCAUGGUUUGAAACAGUGGCCAGCCACCUUUUCUUUUUUUGUCACAUUCGUUAAGUGCUGAGGUACACGGAGUCUAUGAACAAAGCGAGUGUGUUAGUUAAUGAGGCAAAUGACAUAAGUCACUGUCUACACCCAGUUGACGGUUCCCAGCACCAACCACGAGCGCCCUUACCCUCCUUCUUCACCACUGCACGGAUUCUUGCCCAUGAAGGCUUUUUCCCUCUCAGGGAAGUUCCAGACACAGCAUUUUUCUUUAAUCCUGGUGGCCCUCCGUGUCUUGAGCUUUUCCUGACGAAGCCUGGACUGACGCGGGUGGCCAUGGUCUCUGUCACUGAGGAUCCUAGUGGAGAUCCCAGUGUUAAACGGCUUUCCACAACUGUAACAUGUACCGAGAUGAUCAGCUUAUUAAGAGAAAAGGUUUGCUUUGGCUCACGGUUUUGAAGGUUCCAGUCCGUGAUCAGGCAGACCCAUUUCAUGGCGGGAGUUCUUGACAGGAGUUCAUGGAGUUCACGGUGGAAAAGGGAAAUGGAAAGGGCUGGGGUCCCACUGUCCUCUUCCAGGGCACACCCCCAGUGACCUAACGCCUCCCCUUUGGCCCUGCCUCAAAGUUUCCAUCAGCUCUGAAUCGCACCACACAGGGGACCAAGCCUGUGCCACACGGGCCUUCAGGGACACUUCAGGUUGGAACACAGCACAGCCUUUCCCUGCUUCUUCCUCUGGUCUCUCCCACAACAUUAACCCACAUGGCCCACUCAAGUGUCUCUCAAAAGUUGUGUAGGAGCCAGGCACAGUGGGGCACACCUGGAACCCCAGCGACUUGGGAGGCCAAGGCAGGAGAUCGCAAGUUCAAAGGCAGCCUCAGCCACUUAGCGAGGCCCUAAGCAAUUUAGCAAGACCCUGACUCAAAAUGAAAAAUGAAACAGGGGCUGGGGGGUGUAUCUCAGUGGUUAAGUGCCCCUGGGUUCAACCCCUGGUUCCAAAAAAAGUUCAUGCAAAAUUUGGAGAACAUUCACAGAACAAGGUCCUGGGCCUCCGCAGGGCCCAGCGUCUGGUGUGAGUGGGAAGAGGGCGCAGGAGCUUCUCAGGUGCUUGGUGUCGGGGCCCCUCCUCCUGCUGACUCUGUCACUCCAUGGACCUCUGAGUGAAGCCGCCCUGGAAACCACCCCCAAACUGGGAUGGAUGGGAGUUUAAAG